rnacentral:lncRNA from 1 species
GCAAGAAGAAAUCAAACUUCACAAGAAGUUGAGGAUUUGAAAAAAGGAUGGCAUUCAUGUUUUGAAUUCCUGGAUUAAUGGCUCUGGAUGGAGUCCAUUUAAGAUUAAGACAGUAGCCAAGAGCCGUCCUUCCAGCCCCACACUGUGCAGACCUGGGAGAAAGGAGGAAGUGGUCCUCAUCCUAAGGAAUUUAAACUGUGAGAAAAGUGGUGAUGAGAUACAAGUCAUGCUAAUUUCAAGUGUUAAUGAAGCAGAAUCCAUCCCGAUGUGAAGCCUCUGAAGAGGGAUGCUGCAUCUUCGACGGAAGGUGUUAUGAGUGCAGAUUAGUUAGACAAGUGCUGGAGUGAAUGCAUAAGCAGUGAUUUUGCAUAAUGAGGUAUAGCCCUUAGAUACCCAAGGGCAGUAUGGACACAACUUAAA